AUUACCGAGUUUACAACUCCCAAACCCCUGUGAACAUACCACUUGUUGCCUCGGCGGAUCAGCCCGCUCCCGGUAAAACGGGACGGCCCGCCAGAGGACCCCUAAACUCUGUUUCUAUAUGUAACUUCUGAGUAAAACCAUAAAUAAAUCAAAACUUUCAACAACGGAUCUCUUGGUUCUGGCAUCGAUGAAGAACGCAGCAAAAUGCGAUAAGUAAUGUGAAUUGCAGAAUUCAGUGAAUCAUCGAAUCUUUGAACGCACAUUGCGCCCGCCAGUAUUCUGGCGGGCAUGCCUGUUCGAGCGUCAUUUCAACCCUCAAGCACAGCUUGGUGUUGGGACUCGCGUUAAUUCGCGUUCCUCAAAUUGAUUGGCGGUCACGUCGAGCUUCCAUAGCGUAGUAGUAAAACCCUCGUUACUGGUAAUCGUCGCGGCCACGCCGUUAAACCCCAACUUCUGAAUGUUGACCUCGGAUCAGGUAGGAAUACCCGCUGAACUUAAGCAUAUCAAUAG
rnacentral:rRNA from 1 species